AGAACGAACGCUGGCGGCAGGCUUAACACAUGCAAGUCGAGCGCCUCGCAAGAGGAGCGGCAGACGGGUGAGUAACACGUGGGAAUCUACCCAUCCUUACGGAACAACUCCGGGAAACUGGAGCUAAUACCGUAUACGCCCUUCGGGGGAAAGAUUUAUCGAGGAUGGAUGAGCCCGCGUUGGAUUAGCUAGUUGGUGGGGUAAAGGCCUACCAAGGCGACGAUCCAUAGCUGGUCUGAGAGGAUGAUCAGCCACAUUGGGACUGAGACACGGCCCAAACUCCUACGGGAGGCAGCAGUGGGGAAUAUUGGACAAUGGGCGCAAGCCUGAUCCAGCCAUGCCGCGUGAGUGAUGAAGGCCCUAGGGUUGUAAAGCUCUUUCACCGGAGAAGAUAAUGACGGUAUCCGGAGAAGAAGCCCCGGCUAACUUCGUGCCAGCAGCCGC
rnacentral:rRNA from 1 species